AUUGAACGCUGGCGGAAUGCUUUACACAUGCAAGUCGAACGGCAGCACGGACUUCGGUCUGGUGGCGAGUGGCGAACGGGUGAGUAAUGUAUCGGAACGUGCCCAGUCGUGGGGGAUAACGUAGUGAAAAUUACGCUAAUACCGCAUACGACCUAUGGAUGAAAGCGGGGGAUCGCAAGACCUCGCGCGAUUGUAGCGGCCGAUAUCAGAUUAGGUAGUUGGUGGGGUAAAGGCCCACCAAGCCAACGACCUGUAGCUGGUCUGAGAGGACGACCAGCCACACUGGAACUAAGACACGGUCCAGACUCCUACGGGAGGCAGCAGUGGGGAAUUUUGGACAAUGGGCGAAAGCCUGAUCCAGCCAUUCCGCGUGCAGGAUGAAGGCCCUCGGGUUGUAAACUGCUUUUGUACAGAACGAAAAGGUUUCUACUAAUACUAGGAGCUCAUGACGGUACUGUAAGAAUAAGCACCGGCUAACUACGUGCCAGCCGCCGCAGUAA
rnacentral:rRNA from 1 species